AUGGGGCAGCAGUCGCUCAUCUACGCGUUCGUGGCCCGCGGCACGGUGGUGCUGGCCGAGUACACCGAGUUCACCGGCAACUUCACCACCAUCGCCUCCCAGUGCCUCGUCAAGCUCCCCGCCAGCAACAACAAGUUCACCUACAACUGCGACGGCCACACCUUCAACUACCUCGUCGAGGACGGCUUCACAUACUGUGUGGUUGCCGUUGAAUCAGUGGGGCAACAGAUGCCAAUUGCUUUCUUGGUUCGGGUUAAGGAUGAUUUCAGCAAGAGAUAUGCUGGCGGGAAAGCUGCUACUGCUGCACCAAGCAGCCUCAACAGAGAGUUUGGAUCAAAACUCAAAGAGCACAUGCAGUACUGUGUGGACCACCCUGAAGAGAUAAACAAGCUUGCUAAAGUGCAAGCACAAGUUUCAGAAGUGAAAAACGUGAUGAUGGAAAACAUUGAGAAGGUUCUUGAUCGUGGUGAGAAGAUUGAGCUGCUUGUUGACAAAACAGAGAAUCUCCGCUCACAGGCCCAAGAUUUCAGGCAGCAAGGAACACAGGUGAGGAGAAAGAUGUGGCUACAAAACAUGAAGAUCAAGCUGAUCGUCCUGGGCAUCAUCGUCGCGCUCAUCCUCAUCAUAAUCCUGUCGGUGUGCCACGGAUUCAACUGCGGCAAGAAGUGA
rnacentral:rRNA from 1 species